UUUAACCCUGCCUACACCCUCCACCGCCUCCAAUAACCUCCUCCACCUUCAACCGCCCACCGUAUCCCACCACGAACCACCACCACCCGAACACCUUGCUCCACCAUCAAUGACCAACAACCACCACUGAACCACUGGAAAAACCGACCACCCUCCAUCGCUUCUUUCACGAUUUUGAUUUCGAUUUGUAGCGGUUGUUUGAAUCCGAUGAAGAUUCAGAUCUGGAACUGGAUACGGAGGCGGACGACGGUGGAGAGGAAGACGAUGUGCCAAUAUGAUUUUGGAAUCACCCAUAUUUUUUAAAACAUCUAUCUAUUUACAAGAUAUAUUAGUUUAGUCCGUGUAUCACACGGGUAACUAACCUAGUAAGCAAUAAAGGUAAACUGUACUUAAUCAAACAAAACAAAAAUAACCCUGCAACCCAUCUCAAAAAUAAUAGUACCGGAGCCUUAGUAUCUUUUUAUAACAUAUCAACUACUGAUAAUUUAACACAUCACCCUUUUGCAUAAAAGGAUAAGACAAAUCAUCAUAUAAGAGAAAAAAGAUUAUGUGAGGACAUCAAAAAGAUAUCUUCAAAAUAGCAAAAGUAAAUUAUGAUAAAAUUACCAAAGGUAGAAGUAGGUUACCUAAUUUUCAAGAUUGUUGAUACCUUUGAGUGAAAAUGCAUUAUCUCUCUUUAUUAUAAUAUUUCUACAAAAACACAAAAGAUUUUCAUAAUUAGUUUGUCAACCAUAUUUAAAUCUUGGUGUGUUAAUAUGCAUCUAUCAACACACACUAGAGAAUCGAAUGUUACCUUAACUAUCAGUAAUUAAUAGUAGGCUAGCAGGCGAAUUGACAUUUGACAAAUCUAACUGUUGGCCGAAGUUUUGAGCAAGGUGGUGGUUUGUGCGGGGUAGAGGAUGUCGGAGAUGUGUGAGUUAAAGUAGCAAUGUUAUUGUCUUUUUAUAGUAUCGUGUAAAAAAUCACGGAUAGAACACACGAACACAAAGAUACCAAGACUUUUUUAUUUAACAAACUCUAGUUACACCAAAGAACAUAAUAGAAUAGACAAUCUCCUCACCAAGACGAUGAGAAGAAAUUACAGACACUCUAACACACUAAUACACAAGACUUGAAAAACACGAUCAGAAUACAAAUAGAAGACGAAACCCUAAAUCGACCGGAUGAUUAGGGAAGACGAAGACUAGCGGCGGCGGAGAGAACAAAGAAGCGUAAAAAGUAAAUGAAUGAAACCCUAGCUAGAUAACAAGCUUUUAUAGAUGUGUAUUUUAUACUUUAGCCCUUCUCCAUGUAAUAGCCAGUAAAACAACCUUGAACUUCCAGACUUUGGAUAUCUACUCCCUCAACUAACAAAUUAAAACAUAAACAUACCAACCAAUUAAAUGAUAUGUACAUUAUUUAUUAUUAUUUAACUAUUUAAUAUAUUGUAUAGAUUUUUAAAACAUAAUAUAAAGGAAAGUAUAAAAAUUAUAUACAUGCAAAUCCCCAUGGGUAUACCCAAAACCCGACAAAUACCCAACAUGUAAUGGGGCUAAUAUGGGACAAAAUUUACAACGGGUAUGAGACUCAGAUUAGCCAUAUACAGCCUAUACCUGAUCCAUUACCAUCCCUAAUUUCACGCCUUGGUCUAAAAUCAUGGAUUCACUUUAUUUAUUACUAGGUUAAGGCUAUAGGGUGUGGUCAUGACCCUCAUGACCACCAUGACCCUCCAUGUUAGUGUCAUGUAACUAAUCUUUAAUCCACCAUCCAAAACCACUACCCUAAGCGUAUGGUCAUGACCCAAACCAUUAGCCCCUUAUUUAUUAUCUUUGUCUAAACAAAAAGGAAAUGAUUUGUUGAAAAAUGGAAAGGAGGACCAUGGUUGCCAUGGUUUAAUCUAUGCAAACUAUGGUGGAUCAAUCAAUGGGGUGGUGUAGUCUUCCAUUCAUGUUCCUAGGUGGCAAAUCAUGUCUCAACCAUGAUCCCCACACCCUAUAGCCUAAGUAUCCAUGUGAUACACGGCUUAGCAAUUUAGCAUCUUGAAUGAAUAAUAAACAUCUUUCAUAGUUUUCAAAGAUAAAAAAAUAACAUAAUCAAGGAUCCAUUUGGGUAAUGACACGUUUCUAGAAGAAUUCCUAUUUGGCUGGCUCAACAAGAAGUCCACCCUCAGAGGUAAUGACUUCAUCAUUAGAACGUGUAAUCUUAGUUGUGCAGCUGAUUACUAACUGCACCAUCAGCAGUUCCUUCGGAUCCAGUCGGUAACCAUCCCCCUCCCUUCACCAUCGAGUGUAUUUACACUUGAAGAACUAAGGGUGUCAUGGCUAUCCAC
rnacentral:lncRNA from 1 species